AGGCCGUGCCCGGUGCUUAUUUG
rnacentral:miRNA from 15 species